UACGAAGGACCCAAGCGUUAUCCGGAUUUAUUGGGUUUAAAGGGUGCGUAGGCGGAUUAUUAAGUCAGUGGUGAAAGGCCUGCAGCUUAACUGCAGAACUGCCAUUGAUACUGAUGAUCUUGAGUAUGAUUGAGGUGGGCGGAAUGUGUCAUGUAGCGGUGAAAUGCUUAGAUAUGACACAGAACACCGAUUGCGAAGGCAGCUCACUAAGCCUAAC
rnacentral:rRNA from 1 species